UACGUAGGUGGCAAGCGUUGCUCGGAAUCACUGGGCGUAAAGGGCGCGUAGGCGGCGUGACAAGUCACUUGUGAAAUCUCCGGGCUUAACUCGGAACGGUCAAGUGAUACUGUUGUGCUAGAGUACAGAAGGGGCAAUCGGAAUUCUUGGUGUAGCGGUGAAAUGCGUAGAUAUCAAGAGGAACACCAGAGGCGAAGGCGGAUUGCUGGGCUGAUACUGACGCUGAGGCGCGAAAGCUAGGGUAGCAAACGGG
rnacentral:rRNA from 1 species